rnacentral:lncRNA from 1 species
GGCUUUGAAGCUUGGAAAAUGAAGGGGACACAUUCCCCUAUUUAUAGGGAAGGUGUGUGGAUGGUUUUAGAGGGAGAAUAUGGAGGUUUGAUCAGAAAACACGUGUGGCUCGAUGCAUGCUUGGGAUUGACAUGGGGGGAACAUGAAAUGGCUAUGGUCUGAGCUUGCUUGCACCACCUGCAACUUUUCUUUGGUUCUUAGUGUAAC